rnacentral:rRNA from 1 species
AUGGGNGUGCGGCGNCNGGGAUGGUAGNUGGCAUGNACUGGGGGCAAACUUAGCCUUGGGNNAGUCUCGUACAUGCAAUAUAGAUUNAGGAGUUUGAUCAAUAGGGCCUCAAGGAGUGGAUACGGCUUUGGCGGGGUAGGGCCGUAACUACNAUGCGAGAGGUCGUAACGGCGUAGCGACGAGGAGGAGCUUGCGUCUUCGUGGGGUGGCUGAUUGGCGGACGGGGUUGUAGUGGAAUACGAGUCGGGGAUAUUCGUUACUCGUGUNUCCGGUAGNGGGUGGGNAGUAAUUCCGUANGGGGGGAGAUAGCGUNUAUUAUCAGUCGUAUAGUUNACACUGGUCAGGUUACGGUAANCCAUCAGUAGCGUUGGGAGUUGUAGNAGUACGUCGAGGGGGGGGAAAGUCGAUUGUACCNGGUGAAAACCACCGUUUAGGUUCCCGUGCUGUAAGGUGUUGGNACAUACAGUUGUANGAGCGCGUGANAUUUGGCAUUCUNGGUGGAAAGGUUUGGAGNGCGCGAUUACUGGUUUAUUGUGGUGACAUAUGGUGGGGCUCUUUAUAAUNAAGGGAGGGCNUCUCCGAGAGACNCCGUAUUA